GACGAGGUAGUUUAGUGGUUAUAACAGCGGAAUCAUAAUCCGUUGGUCGAGGGUUCAAAUCCCUCUCUCGUCAGCA
rnacentral:tRNA from 1 species